ensembl:lncRNA
UGCAGUGAUCAGGGCAAGUGGGGAGAGAUGGAGCUGCAGAGCUAACCAGGAACCAGUGGGUAAAGAACUUCGAAUACCAUGAAUAGACUGUCCAAGAGCAACGCGGAACUGGGAAAGAGUUUUAAAGAAGGGGCUGGCAGGAUUGAUGAGUAGUUUUGAGGGGCAUCCUGGCAACAGCAUGGAGAAUAAUUUUGGGGAAGGAAGUCUGGAGGUGUGGCUGCAGACUGCAGGAGCAGAUGAGCUCAUAAGAAACAAAGAUUUGCUCUGCUGGAUGAUCUGUCUUCACUCAAGAACAAAGAGCAGCAGCAUAGAUGAGUUACCGUGUAAACAAAUCGAGCAAUCACUAACAUGUACAUCAGAGUGUGCUUUGUCAGCCAGUAUACACACCUCUCUCCAGCACGUCUGUCCUUUACCCUCGUGGAGAUUUAUAUGAAAGCAAUUUAUAGGGCUGGCAGCCAAGUCUCCACUGGCAAGGUGGCUCAGAAAAGAACUGCAAUUAUGCAAAUGAUCAAGAGAAAAAUAAGAAGAGCUACAAGAUCUAGUUUGCCUAAUUGAGGUAGUCAGCUGAAGAUCUAUUCUUCCUUCACUUCAAAUAAGGGACAAUCAUAAGAAUGUUCCACUCUUCUCACAGCCCCAAAGAAAACUUUCAUGAACAAUGAAGGGAAUGGCAACCCACUCUAGUUGUCUUGCCUGGAGAAUCCCAUUGACAGAGGAGCCUGGUGGUCUACAGUCCAUGGGGUUGCAAAGAGUUGGACAUAACUGAGCAACUAACACUUGAUGUUAUUUAUCAAAGAAAAUGGAUCUUCCUGUAUUCCUCUCAAUCUGUGAACGUAAGUAAAUCCUUGUUUUUUUCAAACAAACAGUAGUCAAAUAUGCACUGUCCUAUCAGUUUCCCUACAGUGCCAUGAUAGAUUUAUAUUCCUAUGAAGAAGUUUCUCCACUUGCUUGCUUCCCGUUGACUUCUCAGCCUCUCCAUUCUGACGUGCUCUUCC